rnacentral:rRNA from 1 species
AUUGAACGCUGGCGGCAUGCCUUACACAUGCAAGUCGAACGGUAACAGGUCUUCGGAUGCUGACGAGUGGCGAACGGGUGAGUAAUACAUCGGAACGUGCCUAGUAGUGGGGGAUAACUACUCGAAAGAGUGGCUAAUACCGCAUGAGAUCUACGGAUGAAAGCAGGGGAUCGCCAGACCUUGUGCUACUAGAGCGGCCGAUGGCAGAUUAGGUAGUUGGUGGGAUAAAAGCUUACCAAGCCGACGAUCUGUAGCUGGUCUGAGAGGACGAUCAGCCACACUGGGACUGAUAAACGGCCCAGACUGCUACGGGAGGCAGAAGUGGGGAAUUUUGGACAAUGGGCGCAAGCCUGAUCCAGCAAUGCCGCGUGCAGGAUGAAGGCCUUCGGGUUGUAAACUGCUUUUGUACGGAACGAAAAGCCCCGGGUUAAUACCCUGGGGUCAUGACGGUACCGUAAGAAUAAGCACCGGCUAACUACGUGCCAGCAGCCGCAGUAA